AUGUCCUAAAGUCACAGAAAUGUCCUGAAAUAUGAGAAAUGUCAACAAAAACAAGAAAUGUCCUAAAACCCACAACAUGUCCUGAAUUCCCGCGUUGACGUCACAUUAAUAGUUUGGGCGUUUCUCUGCAGGUCGCCAUCAAGAUCAUCGACAAAACUCAGCUGAACCCGACCAGCCUGCAGAAGCUCUUCAGGGAGGUCAGCGUGAUGAAGAUCCUCAACCACCCAAACAUCGUGAAGCUCUUUGAGGUGAUCGAGACGGACAAAACUCUGUACCUGGUGAUGGAGUACGCCAGCGGAGGUAAGACCAGCUCACCUGCCUGUCUCACCUGUCUGUCCUUCUGACUGUCUCACUUGUGUGUCUCACCUGUCUGCCCCCCUGAAU